UACAGAGGUCCCAAGCGUUGUUCGGAUUCAUUGGGCGUAAAGGGUGCGUAGGCGGCGCGGUAAGUCGGGUGUGAAAUCUCGGAGCUUAACUCCGAAACUGCAUUCGAUACUGCCGUGCUUGAGGACUGGAGAGGAGACUGGAAUUUACGGUGUAGCGGUGAAAUGCGCAGAUAUCAGGAGGAACACCGGUGGCGAAGGCGGUUCUCUGGGCAUGAUCUGACGCUGAGGAGCGAAAGUGUGGGGAGCGAACAGG
rnacentral:rRNA from 1 species